CCUUAUGCUGGCUUCCAGAGGAGAACAGGAAACAGAGUCAACAUAGCCAGUUUUAUAUUUUGGGAGGAGUCGUGCAGAUUUAACACGACAGGACAGAAAGUCAGUGUCAUGGUCUGGAUCGGUUCCCCUUUAAAUUUAGUUAGGUUGCAUUAUGAUCUGGACCAUUGACUCCUUGUUCCCUUCUAAUUCUGUUUCACGUGUCCCUUGAGCUUGGCAAUCAAGGUAAUCUACCCUCGACCCGAACCGGCAGCUUAUAAGCCCCUGGCUUUAGCCGUUCGGGGCGAGAGUGUUAGGAAGCCUUCGCUACGGCAAGCCAGAGUUAUCAAGCCCGCAUCGGAGUGCCAGCAAUUCGCCUUCCUUCGCCAGAGUGGGUCUGGGCAAGGUCAAACUGCCAGGGUUGACUGACGUGGACUUGAUCUCCUGCUGAAAGAUGCCUGACUUGGAACUAAGCACUGCUGACAGAAGAGAUUCCUCAGGCUCCAGAAAUCUUGAGCAACACGCACAAAAUACCGGAGGAACUCAGCAGGUCGGGCAGCAUCUAUGGAGGGAAAUGAUCUGUCUGCAUAUUGGAGCUCCAUGAUGGAAGUAGUUGGCACCUUGCUCUUUGCCUUGAAUCUGUUGAGGUUAAAGACCCUGUUUGACCCUGGCCUCAGCCUCAAAGGUUUCAGAGCUGCUGUUGCACACAUAAGAGCUGCAGAAUCUCGAGGUAUUUUUGCGGCACCUGAUUCUGGACAGUACCUGCCAAAGGUCAAAUGCUUUUGUAAGGUCUAUGAAGGCCAUAUGAAGUGGGAGAUUUUGUUCCUGGGCUUUCUUCUGCAAUUGGUGCACUGUAAAAAAUCAUGCCGAAUGUUCCCCUGGCUGGACAGAAGCCACACUGAAUCUCAGGAAGGCGAUCUUCUGCCAGAGCUGAAGGCUGGUCACAUAAGAUUUGAGCUGCCACAAAAGAAGAAACCCAAAAGAACCAGAUGAAAAAAAGAGACCAAUGCCCAAUGUGCAGAGAGUAAAAUCACAAAUUGUUUGUCUAUAUAAUUAUAGAUAAAGCGGAAGUGUGAAUGGCUCAAAGUACUGAAAUAUUUGGCAAGUCAUGCCCUGAUUCUUGAUACAAGAGAAGGUGGCUGGGGUGCUGUCAGAUUCCAUGAUCUACAGCUGUGCUCAAACUAUGUUCUUCACGGGCGGUGGGUUCUCACUCUUCUGAACUCAUUCGGGAUCUCCAGGAGCGGUUUGGAGGAUGCGUGCCUUCGGGGUGCAACCCUGUGGAUGACCCAGUUCCUCGCUGAUGUCGCUGGCUAAAACAUCACAGGAGAUCGAAAUAUCAAGACAGCAGGCGCAGCUGUCGGAGGCCUCUGCACUCGAGCAAUCUCUCUCUCUCUCAAUGGUGAGAGAGAUCGUCUGAUGCUUCUCCAGUUGGGAGAACUCGAAUAAGCGAUGCUGCAGAAACAGUGAGCUAUUGGCUUUCCCUAUCACUGUGGCAGGAAUGAUAUCUAUCUCUCCAUUGUAAGGGAGGGAGGGAGAGAGAGAGGGAGAGAAUGAGAAUACGCAUGGCAGUCUGAAAUGUCAACGUGUUGGGAUGGACAGUAAUUUUUGAUGGACUCUAGAUCAUGGUCCCUAGGGGUUUGAUAUUGCAUGAUGGGCACUGAUGCUUCUGCUGGAGCAAGUGGGGAGAGGGCUGAUGUGUUUGCUGCUGUUUUUGCAUGGGGAAUGAGGGCUUUAGGAUUCUAACAUUUUGUUGUUGUUCAUUCUUUGGGUUUUUUUCCUUCUGUUUUGUGGAUAUCUGUGAAGAGUAAACAUUUCAGGUUGUAUACUGUAUACAUUCUCUGAUAUUAAAUUGAACCAUUGAACCUUC